CUCCGACUGCCAAUUGGGGAUGACGCAUGCGUUCUGCGAGUUGACCGUCAACCUGAAUUGCAUAUGCGCUCUAGGAUCUGACCGUCGUAUUGGACGGAGCAUGUGCAGAGAGUGCUGUGUUGGUGCUGGUGUCUGUAUUUAGUAUCAGAAAACGUGCUCUGCCCUGACCUUAAAUUUAGCCUAUACGUCCAAUUAUGACAGACAAUAAACGCCUUGCAUACUCCAUCAUUCAGUUUUUACGUGAUCAGCUCCAGUCUGGAGAUUUGACUUCAGAUGCUCAGGAAAGCUUAGAGGUUGCCAUCCAGUGUUUGGAGACAGCAUUUGGCAUCUCCACGGACAACGAGGAUCUUGCUGUGUCUCGGACACUCCCAGAGAUUUUUGCAGAUGCUGUUAAAGAGGUAGGACAGAAAAUAU